AUUGAACGCUGACGGCAGGCCUAACACAUGCAAGUCGAGCGGAUGAAGGGAGCUUGCUCCUGGAUUCAGCGGCGGACGGGUGAGUAAUGCCUAGGAAUCUGCCCGGUAGUGGGGGAUAACGUACGGAAACGGGAGCUAAUACCGCAUACGUCAUGAGGGUGAAAGUGGGGGAUCUUCAGACCUAAAGCUAUCUGAUGUGCCUAGGUCGGAUUAGCUAGUUGGUAAGGUAAAGGCUUACCAAGGCGACGAUCCGUAACUGGCCUGAGAGGGUGAUCUGUCACACUGGAACUGAGACACGGUCCAGACUCCUACGGGAGGCAGCAGUAGGGAAUAUUCCGCAAUGGGCGAAAGCCUGACCGAGCAACGCCGCGUGAGUGAUGAAGGUCUUCGGAUUGUAAAACUCUGUUAUUAGGGAAGAACAUAUGUGUAAGUAAAUCUGCAUAUCUUGACGGUACCUAAAGAGAAAGCCACGGCUAACUACGUG
rnacentral:rRNA from 1 species